AUUGAACGCUGGCGGCAGGCUUAACACAUGCAAGUCGAGCGGAGAGAGGUAGCUUGCUACCGAUCUUAGCGGCGGACGGGUGAGUAAUGCUUAGGAAUCUGCCUAUUAGUGGGGGACAACAUUUCGAAAGGAAUGCUAAUACCGCAUACGUCCUACGGGAGAGAGCAGGGGAUCUUCGGACCUUGCGCUAAUAGAUGAGCCUAAGUCGGAUUAGCUAGUUGGUGGGGUAAAGGCCUACCAAGGCGACGAUCUGUAGCGGGUCUGAGAGGAUGAUCCGCCACACUGGGACUGAGACACGGCCCAGACUCCUACGGGAGGCAGCAGUGGGGAAUAUUGGACAAUGGGCGCAAGCCUGAUCCAGCCAUGCCGCGUGUGUGAAGAAGGCCUUAUGGUUGUAAAGCACUUUAAGCGAGGAGGAGGCUACUUUAGUUAAUACCUAGAGAUAGUGGACGUUACUCGCAGAAUAAGCACCGGCUAACUCUGUGCCAGCCGCCGCCGUAAUAC
rnacentral:rRNA from 1 species